rnacentral:rRNA from 1 species
GGCCUUACACAUGCAAGUCGAGGGGUAACAGGAGAAAGCUUGCUUUCUCGCUGACGACCGGCGCACGGGUGCGUAACACGUAUGCAACCUACCUCUUACUGGGGAAUAGCCCAGAGAAAUUUGGAUUAAUACCCCAUAGUAUCACCAGUUCGCAUGUUCAGGUGAUUAAAGGUUACGGUAAGAGAUGGGCAUGCGCCCCAUUAGCUAGUUGGUGAGGUAAUGGCUCACCAAGGCUACGAUGGGUAGGGGGUCUGAGAGGACUAUCCCCCACACUGGUACUGAGACACGGACCAGACUCCUACGGGAGGCAGCAGUGAGGAAUAUUGCGCAAUGGACGAAAGUCUGACGCAGCCAUGCCGCGUGCAGGAUGACGGCGCUAUGCGUUGUAAACUGCUUUUAUAUGCCAAGAAACCUUCGGACGUGUCCGAAGCUGACGGUAGCAUAUGAAUAAGCACCGGCUAACUCCGUGCCAGCAGCCGCGGUAAUACGGAGGGUGCAAGCGUUAUCCGGAUUUAUUGGGUUUAAAGGGUCCGUAGGCGGAUCAUUAAGUCAGUGGUGAAAUCCGGCAGCUCAACUGUCGAACUGCCAUUGAUACUGAUGAUCUUGAAUAUGGUUGAAGUUGGCGGAAUAGGUCAUGUAGCGGUGAAAUGCUUAGAUAUGACCUAGAACACCGAUUGCGAAGGCAGCCAACUAAGCCAUCAUUGACGCUGAGGGACGAAAGCGUGGGUAGCGAACAGGAUUAGAUACCCUGGUAGUCCACGCCGUAAACGAUGAUUACUCGGUAUUGGCUUCGGUCAGUGCCCAAGCGAAAGUGAUAAGUAAUCCACC